rnacentral:rRNA from 1 species
ACCUCNGAUCGGNCGAGAUUACCCGCUGAACUUAAGCAUAUUACUAAGCGGAGGAAAAGAAACUAACAAGGAUUUCCCCAGUAACNNCGAGUNAAGCGGNAAAAGCCCAGCACCGAAUCCCCCGGUGUCACGCCGGCGGGAACUGUGGUGUNAGGGACGCCACCAGUCGCGCCGGAGGGUGCCGAAGUCCUCCUGAUCGGGGCUUCACCCGGAGCGGGUGUAAGGCCUUUGCUGGCACCUCUCCGCGCGGCCGCCGCAGCGUCUCNGGAGUCGGGUUGUUUGGGAAUGCNGCCCAAAGCNG